GAAAUGCGAUAAGUAGUGUGAAUUGUAGAAUUCAGUGAAUCAUCGAAUCUUUGAACGCACAUUGCGCCCUUUGGUAUUCCAAAGGGCAUGCCUGUUCGAGCGUCAUUUGUACCCUCAAGCUUUGCUUGGUGUUGGGCGUCUUGUCUCUAGCUUUGCUGGAGACUCGCCUUAAAGUAAUUGGCAGCCGGCCUACUGGUUUCGGAGCGCAGCACAAGUCGCACUCUCUAUCAGCAAAGGUCUAGCAUCCAUUAAGCCUUUUUUUCAACUUUUGACCUCGGAUCAGGUAGGGAUACCCGCUGAACUUAAGC
rnacentral:misc_RNA from 1 species